rnacentral:tRNA from 1 species
GGUCUUCAUAGCUCAGUUGGUGGAGCCCUGCAGCGCUAACACAGAGGUUAUGGGUUCGAAUCCCAUUGAAGCCC